AUGCGCACACGGGCGGCAGCGCCCGCGCCUCAGAGCGCCCCUCGAACGCCACCGCAAAACACAAACACUGUCACAUCGGUCAAACUGGCAAACCAAAGCUUUAUUCUUCUGUUGUGGUCUCCAAGCAGGAAGUCCUCUACUUAGAAGCCCAAAGGG